rnacentral:rRNA from 1 species
GGGAUCAUUACCGAGUUGCAAAACUCCCAAACCCAUUGUGAACCAAUACCACUGUUGCUUCGGCGGACACGCCCCCGGGGGGAGGCGCCCGCCGGGGGACCGAAACCUCUGUAUUUACCAUUUGAGUACUCUGAGUGUGAUUUACAAAAUCAAAAUUAAAACUUUCAACAACGGAUCUCUUGGCUCUAGCAUCGAUGAAGAACGCAGCGAAAUGCGAUAAGUAAUGCGAAUUGCAGAAUUCAGUGAAUCAUCGAAUCUUUGAACGCACAUUGCGCCCGCCAGUAUUCUGGCGGGCAUGCCUGUCUGAGCGUCGUUUCGACCCUCGCGCCCGGCUUCUGUCGGGGGCGGUGUUGGGGAUCGGCCACACCCUUCAGUGGGAGGCCGGCCCCUAAAUUCAGUGGCGACCACGCUGUAGCCUCCCCUGCGUAGUACUAAAACCACCUCGCAGGCG